rnacentral:rRNA from 1 species
UACGUAGGGUGCGAGCGUUGUCCGGAAUUAUUGGGCGUAAAGGGCUCGUAGGCGGUUUGUCGCGUCGGGAGUGAAAACACCGGGCUUAACUCGGUGCUUGCUUUCGAUACGGGCAGACUAGAGGCAUGCAGGGGAGAACGGAAUUCCUGGUGUAGCGGUGAAAUGCGCAGAUAUCAGGAGGAACACCGGUGGCGAAGGCGGUUCUCUGGGCAUGUCCUGACGCUGAGGUGCGAAAGCGUGGGGAGCAAACAGG